GGCGGGGCGGGAACCAGCGGCGGCCCAGCCUGGCCGCCUCCCUGAUGUACCGCCCCGCUGCCCGCCUUCGGGAGGGAACAACGCCGGAGAGAACAAAAACGGAAGAGAGCGUGGUACUGACGAAGAAGGGAAGGAUCCUGGAUCACAAAGACCUUCUGUGGUUUUUCGGAUCUAAGCCAUCCGUCUGACUGAAUAUCUCAGUAGCCACUGUCACGUAUCAAGGCUCCCCAUCGUUGCCAGUCCAUUGCUUUGCUGCCAAAGUUGAACACUUUGGAGAGUGCAGUGGACUCAGCAGCACGGAUCUGAAGCUGUGCAAUGCAAUUCUGCUUCAAUCAGCAGUGGAACUGGUUUUGUUUGAGGCUGCAUGCUGGUGGCACAGAAGACUUGAUAUUUGCACAACUUAAUUUGAAAGAAAAUGGUGCAAGU